AUUGAACGCUGGCGGCAGGCCUAACACAUGCAAGUCGAGCGGAUGAAGGGAGCUUGCUCCUGGAUUCAGCGGCGGACGGGUGAGUAAUGCCUAGGAAUCUGCCUGGUAGUGGGGGAUAACGUCCGGAAACGGCCGCUAUUACGGCAUACUACCGGAGGGAGAAGGUGGGGGUUCUUCGGACCUCACGUUAUCAGUGGAGCCUAGGUCGGAUUAGCUAGUUGGUGGGGUAAAGGCCUACCAAGCCGACGAUCCGUAACUGGUCUGAGAGGAUGAUCAGUCACACUGGAACUGAGACACGGUCCAGACUCCUACGGGAGGCAGCAGUGGGGAAUAUUGGACAAUGGGCGAAAGCCUGAUCCAGCCAUGCCGCGUGUGUGAAGAAGGUCUUCGGAUUGUAAAGCACUUUAAGUUGGGAGGAAGGGCAGUAAGUUAAUACCUUGCUGUUUUGACGUUACCAACAGAAUAAGCACCGGCUAACUUCGUG
rnacentral:rRNA from 1 species